rnacentral:lncRNA from 1 species
GCCAAUGAAAAGUUCUUUAGGGUAGGCUUCCGACCUACUCCAGCUGAUGUAAGAUGGGCAGAUGAUAGAAAGAGUGAUGGUUGGGUCUUGCCUCAGCCGGUGCUGCAUCUGUACAGAACAUUUGUCAAGCUGAAAUACAAUAAGAAAGAGGAAGAUAAGGCCUUUACAGCCGAAGAAAUCGAAGAAAUCUGUGGGGCCAUGAGGAAGAUACUGUAUGAAGCCCACAUGGUUCAACCAGGGGAAGGCUCAAGCACCGCUGAGGUGUUGUAUAUAGGACCUAAUGCCAAACUGCAGAAUUGGAAGGCUACACCAUUCCCAAUCAGGUGGGAGUCCUGGUAGACCUAUCCUGCCAGUUUUUCUGCAUCACGAGUUAUUCAAGGUGUAACUCGGAUGUUUUCUUUAGUUUUCUGUCUUUUAAUUUCCAUUGUAAACCCUGUUAUCUUCAAAUCCAAUGAAAUGAAAUCAAUAUUUCAUCAUUCAUCGUUCUUUAUUCUUUCUGAUUUUUGUGAUGUUUCUCUUUAUUUCUUCUUUCAGUUCUAAUGAUGCAGGUUUAAAUAACAUGACAUGCUUGUGAACUUCAUGCCCAGAUCCAAACACGCUGUAUAACUAUGAAAUAAUGAACCAAGAACCAGACUAUGAUGAAGAAGAGGCUUUUAAGGAAAUAAAUCAAGAAUUAGAGCAAUUUGAGAAUAAACUUAAGCCAAACUUAAAUGAUACUGAGCCGGUAAAUUUGGGUAAUUCAGAAGAGGUCCAAGAGACCAUGAUAAGCAUUCACGCAAAUGAAAGAACCAGGGAUGCUUUGGUCCAACUUUUGUUUGAGUUCAAAUAUGUGUUUGCUUGGUCAUAUGACGACAUGUCAGGACUGUUGAUUUGGUGGUUCAUAAGUUGCCAACCUACCCUGAUUAUCCCCCUGUUCAGCAAAAGCAGAGAAAGUUUAAAACUGUUAUCAGUGACAAGAUUAAAGAAGAGGUCACAAAACAGUUGAAAGCGGGGAUGAUCCGAGUGGUUCGAUACACCACUUGGUUAGCCAAUGUAGUUCCAGUGUCAAAGAAAAACGGGAAAACUCGAGUGUGUGUGGAUUACAGAGAUCUGAACAAAGCGAGUCCUAAGGACAACUUCCCUUUGCCAAACAUCCACAUCCUCGUUGACAAUUGUGCCAAACAUGAGAUAUAGUCUUUUGUGGAUUGUUAUGUUGGGUAUCAUCAGGUCUUGAUGGACGAGGAAGAUGCGGAGAAGACAACAUUUACAACACCUUGGGGAACCUAUUGCUACAGGGUUAUGCUUUUUGGUCUGAAGAAUGCCGGGGCAACCUACAUGAGGGCCAUGACCACCAUUUUUCAUGAUAUGAUGCACCAAGAGAUAGAGGUGUAUGUGGACAACGUGAUCAUCAAGUCCAAGACCCAGGAUGACCCUGUUCGGGAUUUAAGAAAAUUCUUCGAGCGGCUGCGUUAAUAUGAUCUGAAGCUAAACCCAGCUAAAUGUGCAUUCGGGGUUCCAUCUGGAAAACCUUUGGGAAUCAUAGUCAGUCGGAGGGGCAUCGAGUUAGACCCAACAAAGAUAAAGUCCAUUCGAGAUCUGCCUUCUCCAAGAACCAAGAAAGAUGUUAUGAGUCUGCUCGGAAGAUUGAACUACAUCAGCUGAUUCAUUGCCCAGCUGACAUCUACAUGUGAACCCAUUUUCAAGCCAUUAAAGAAAGACGCAGCAAUUAAAUAGAAAGGCGAGUGCGAAGAAGAUUUUAACAAAAUCAAAGAAUACUUGUCGAACUCGCCAGUAUUGGUCCCGCCUGAACCGGAAAGGCCCCUUUUCUUUUAUAUGAUAGUCUUGGAGAACUCUUUUGGAUGUGUCCUCAGAUAACAUGAUGUGACCAGGAGGAAGGAACAUGCAAUCUACUAUUUGAGCAAAAAGUUCACAAGCUGCGAGACCAAAUAUACCUUGUUGGAGAGAACUUGUUGCGCUUUAACUUGGGUUCCUCAGAAGCUGAGGCAUUACUUGCUAGCCUACACCACCUACCUUAUUACCAUGUUGGACCCUUAAGUACAUAUUCCAGAAACCAAUGCCCAUUGGGAGGUUAGCAAAGUGGCAGAUCUUGCUCACUGAAUUAGACAUAGUCUAUGUCACUCGCACGGCAAUGAAAGCCCAGGCAUUAGCAGAUCACUUGGCUGAAAACCCAAUUGAUGAUGAAUACCAACCUUUGGAUACCUACUUCCCUGAUGAAGAGGUGAAUUCAGUUGAGGCAAUAUCCAAAGACACCAAUGCUUGGAAAAUAUUCUUUGAUGGAGUGGUAAACGUAAAAGGCGUUGGAAUUGGGGCAAUUUUGAUCUCACCCACUGGCCAACAUUAUCCAGCCACAGCCAGGCUUUGGUUUUUCUGCACAAACAACACUGCCAAGUAUAAAGCUUGCAUUAUGGGUAUGAACAUGGCAAUCGACCUAGAUGUCGAAGAACUAUUAAUCAUGAGAGACUCAGAUUUGAUUAUCCGACAAGCUCAAGGAGAAUGGAAAACCUGAGAUGUCAAGCUUAUUACUUAUAAGCAACAUGUGGAAGAACUUGGCAAGCGAUUCAAGUCGAUAGAGUUCAGGUACAUCCCUCGUUGCCACAAUGAACUAGCUGAUGCACUUGCCACUUUGGCCUCGAUGCUGCCAUACCCAGGCAAUGCCCACAUUGAUUCCUUGGAAAUCCAAAUCAGGGAAAGGCAUGGCUACUGUAAUACGGUUGAGGCAGAACCAAAUGUUCAGCCCUGGUAUCAUGACAUCAAAAGAUUUUUGAAAACCAAAGAAUACCCCGAGCAAGCCAGUGGAGACCAAAAGAGAACCAUUAGAUGGCACGCAAGUGGUUUCUUCUUGAGCGGUUAUGUCUUGUUCAAAAGGACUUCAGAUCUCAACUUGUUAAGAUGUGUUGAUGCCGUAAAAGGCUAGAAGAAUCAUGUAUGAAGUGCACGUAGGGGUGUGCGGACCCCACAUGAACAAGUAUGUUUUGACAAAGAAAAUCCUUCGAGCGGGCUAUUACUGGAUGACCAUGGAAAAAGACUGCUUCAGUUUUGUUCGGAAAUGUCAUCAGUGUUAGGUGCACGGAGAUUUGAUUCAUGCACCUCCCACAGAACUGCAUCCCAUGUCAGCGCCUUGGCCAUUUGUUGCUUGGUGCAUUGACGUUAUUGGGCCAAUCGAUCCAAAAGCCUCAAAUGGGCACAGAUUCAUAUUGGUUGCCAUCGACUAUUUCACGAAAUGGGUUGAAGCAAUCACUCUCAAAUCUGUCACUAAGAAAGUUGUGGUAGAUUUCGUGCACUCCAAUCUUAUCUGUCGUUUUGUCAUUCCUGCAACUAUUAUCAUAGAUAAUGUUGCAAACUUGAAUAGUCAUUUGAUGGGGGAGAUAUGCGAACAAUUCAAGAUAACGCAUCGGAAUUCUACUCCCUAUCACCCUAAAGCCAAUGGUGCCGUCGAAGCAGCAAACAAGAACAUCAAAAAAAAAUUGAGAAAGAUGAUCCAAAGUUCCAGGCAGUGGCAUGAAAAGUUGCCUUUUGCAUUGUUGGGAUAUAGCACUACGGUGCGCACAUCGAUCGGAGCAACCCUGUAUCUUUUGGUUUAUGGAACUGAAGUUGUAAUAUCCAUGGAGGUUGAAAUCCCUUCUCUCCGGAUCAUUGUGGAAGCUGAAAUUGAAGACAGUGAGUGGGUCAAAACCCGUUUGGAACAACUGACCCUGAUCGAUGAAAAGCGGAUGGCCGCAGUUUGCCACGGGUAGUUGUAUCAACAAAGAAUGGCCUGUGCUUACAACAAGAAAGUGAGGCCUAGAAAUUUUGAAGUGGGACAACUCAUUCUAAGGUGUAUUCUUCCCCAUCAUCAGGAAGCAAAAGGGAAAUUUGCUCCCAAUUAGAAAGGCCCAUACAUCAUCAGGAAGAUAUUGCCCAGAGGAGCAUUGUAUAUGGGAGACAUUGAAAGAAAUGAUCCCGAAGUAGCUAUAAAUGCAGAUGCAGUCAAAAGGUACUAUGUCUAAUCUUUCUGCGGUGACAACAUUGCCCUAUCGGGAUGACGAAGGCUUUCAUUCUCGCUAAACACUCCAAUCCUUUGCUAACCCAUUGAGUUGUUUACUUUUCUUUCAUUACCCUCUUUGGAACUCGAAGAUAUUUGAUUAAAAAAACAAAAUGUUUUACUGAACUACGUUCGACUUGAUUCCGAAAGGAUACGUAGGCAGCCUCUCUCUGGGGUUCAGUCACACCAAAAUAAAAAUUCAAAGUUCCCCAAAAAGUGAAAUUGGGGCAGAUUUUAUAAUGGUUCGGUGAUGAUCCCGCCUGAACGGUUCCAAAGUUGUAAUUUAAUCCAAAUUCUUUUACCCCAAACCUUGUUCAAGUCCUUCCGAUCAGUCGGCAAAGGGUUUUCAAAAUCGGAGAAUGCAGUUGUUUGGAUCCGAUGCAAUCAAAAUGAGAGAAAUAAAAUGAGAGAGUCUUAUUGGUGAAAACCCACCCGGGCACCAUGAGGCGAUGGUAAGCAGAGAAAUGAAAAACGAGAGAGUCUUGUUAGUGAAAACUCGUAAAGAGCACUAUAAGGCGACGGUGAGAAGAGAAAUGAAAGAGGUCGAUUGACGAAAACCCACAAAGGGCGCCGUUGAUAGAAAAUAAAGAACCUCUCACCACCACUGAUACUGAAAGGGUCCUUGCAAGGUUCCUCGGUUUAAAAAUACGAGUCGCAAUGGGUAUGCAAGAAGUCGGAUUAGUUGCGCGGAUCAGGUAUCUAGUCCUAGAAGCAUGUCAUGUCUAUUGAAGUCUGCAUGCACCCCAGAUAAGUCCGUUUCUUAUUCCCCGAAAGGGACACUUCUCCUCAAAUUCAUUUUCCUGUCCUUUGUUUACUUUUCCUUGAAUCCCUUUCGGUCUAACUUUGUUCCAAAGCUAAUGGAAAGAAAAGGUGGCAAUAUUGGUUUUACAGGGUUCUGCUUAAUAAAAACCAAGUCCAAAUAAAAGUACCCAGCCUCAGCGGGUACAUCAAGUCGAUUCUGACUGGCCAUGAUAACUGAUGCUUUAAAAUCGGAGUCUAUUGAAAAUGAAAAGAAAUCCCAAGUCAAAGCCCCUAGAGGCAGAAUAAAAUGAAAGGCCAAAGCCUAUAAGCCGUCAUGAGAAAUUUUGAAAAGCUGAGCUCCUAGGUUUUAGGAUAGAUAUCAAUCUUCAGAAAAGCCAACAAGAAGUAGAGGUUCCAACCAAAAGAGUUGAGCCAAGAUCAAGUGAUCAAAAACGAUAAAGGCCACAAAACCAACCACCGUUUCAGACUAACAAUUGUUCUUUGUUUGAAAAGUUGAAACAAGUGCAACCCAAAGCAACCGUGCGAGAAGCAGGUGCAACCGAAAGGGAAAAGAUGCGCAAGAGCUAGAAACAGCUUACCGCAACAACCACUUCAAAUAAGGGAAGUUCACUCCAAGUUUCUUUCCCGCAUUAUAUUAAAAAAUGAAAAUUAAAAAACAAAUGUUAGCUUGGGACUUCCAACCUCAAUCUUUUACGCUUUUACCAACAUUAGGGCUCCAAUCCCUGAGUUGAGAUUUUUUUAGACAUAGGGCCUCCAUUCCCUAGUCGCAUUUUACCAACAUUAGGGCUCCGAUCCCUGAGUUGAGAGUUUUUAGACAUAGAGCCUCCAUUCCCUAGUUGCCUUCUACCAACAUUAGGGCUCCAAUCCCUAAGUUGAGAUUUUUAGACAUAGGGUNNNNNNNNNNNNNNNNNNNNNNNNNGCCCNCAACCCUUCCUUUCUUUUGCAUCAAUCAUGGUGGACAAAGAAAUGAUCAGGCACGGCUACAAACCUAGGAAAAGGCUUGGUAAAUCGUUGUAAGGAAUAGCUGAACCUAUUACUCUGACCGCCAGUGAAAAGUUCUUUGGGGUAGGCUUCCGACCUACUCCAACUGAUGUAAGAUGGGCAGAUGAUAGAAAGAAUGAUGGUUGGGUCUUGCCUUAGCCGGUGCCGCAUCUGUACAGAACAUUUGUCAAGCCAAAAUACAAUGAGGAAGAGGAAGAUAAGGCCUUUACGACCAGAGAAAUCGAAGAAAUCUGUGAGGCCAUGAGGAAGAUACCGUAUGAAGCCCACAUGGUUCAAACAGGGGAAGGCUCAAGCACCGCUGAGGUGCUGUAUAUGGGACCUAAUGCCAAACUGCAAAAUUGGAAGGCUAUGAGGCAGGAGUCCCGGUAGACCUGUCCUGCCACUUUUUCUGCAUCACGAGUUAUUCCAGGGUGUAACUCGAAUGUUUUCUUUAGUUUCAUGUCUUUUAAUGUAAACCCUGUUAUCUUCAAAUUCAAUGAAAUGAAAUCAAUAUUUCAUCGUCCAUCUUUAUUUAUUCUUUCUAAUUUGGUUAUUUUUCUCUUUUAUUUCUUUUUUCAGUUCUAAUAAUGCGGCUUUAAAUAACAUGACAUGCUUGCGGACUUCAUGCCCAGAUCCAAACACGCUGUCUAACUGUGAGAUAAUGAACCAAGAAAUCAGGGAAACCAAGAUAAGCAUUCACACAGAUGGAAAAACCUGGGACGCAUUAAUCCAACUCCUGUUUGAGUUCAAAGAUGUGUUUGCUUGGUCAUAUGAUGACAUUCCAGGACUAAGUGUUGAUUUGGUGGUUCAUAAGUUGCCGACUAACCCCCUGUCCAGCAAAAGCAAAGAAAGUUUAAAACUGACAUCAGUGACCAGAUCAAAGAAGAAGUCACGAAAUAGCUGAAAGCGGGGGUGAUCCGAGUAGUUCGGUAUACCACAUGGCUAGCUAAUAUAGUUCCAGUGCCAAAGAAAGAUAGGAAGACCCGAGUGUGUGUGGAUUACAGGGAUCUAAACAAGGCAAGUCCCAAAGAUAACUUCCCUUUGCCGAACAUCCACAUCCUUGUUGAUAACUGCGCCAAACAUGAGAUACAGUCCUUCAUGGAUUGUUACAUAGGAUAUCACCAGGUGUUGAUGGAUUAAUAAGAUGCAGAAAAAAUAGCUUUUACCACACCUUGGGGUACAUACUGUUACAGAGUCAUGCCAUUUGGUCUGAAGAACACCGGGGCAACCUACAUGAGGGCCAUGACUACCAUUUUUCAUGAUAUGAUGAACCAAGAGAUAGAGGUGUAUGUGGACGAUGUAAUCAUCAAAUCCAAAACCCAGGAUGACCACGUUCGGGACUUGAGAAAAUUCUUUGAGCGGUUGCGCAAAUAUGAUUUGAAGCUGAACCCAGCCAAAUGUGCAUUUGGGGUACCAUCCGGCAAACUCUUAGGAUUCGUAGUCAGUCGGAGGGGCAUCGAGUUGGACCCAACAAAGAUAAAGUCUAUUCGAGAUUUGCCUCCUCCAAGAACCAAGAAAGAUGUUAUGAGUUUGUUGGGAAGAUUGAACUACAUCAGCCGAUUCAUUGCUCAGUUGACAUCCAUAUGUGAACCCAUAUUCAAAUUGCUGAAGAAAGAUGCGGCAAUCAAAUGGACAAACAAGUGCCAAGAAGAUUUUGAUAAAAUCAAAGAAUAUUUGUUGAAUCCACCAGUAUUGGUCCCACCUGAGCUAGGGAGGCCUCUGUUCUUGUAUAUGACAGUCUUGGAAAAUUCUUUCGGUUGUGUCCUCGGGCAACAUGAUGUGACCGGAAAGAAAGAGCAGGCCAUUCACUAUUUAAGCAAGAAGUUUACCAGUUAUGAAGCCAAGUACACUUUACUGGAAAGAACUUGUUGCGCUUUAAAUUGGGUCGCUCAGAAGCUGAGGCAUUAUUUGCAAGCCUACACCACUUACUUCAUAACCAGGUUGGAUCCUUUAAAAUACAUAUUUCAGAAACCAAUGCCCACUGAGAGAUUAGCAAAGUGGCAGAUCUUGCUCACGGAGUUUGACAUAGUCUACAUUACUCGCACGACAAUGAAAGCCCAGGCGUUAGCAGAUCAUUUGGCUGAGAACCCGGUUUAUGAUGAAUACCAACCUUUAAGCACUUACUUCCCAGAUGAAGAGAUAAAUUCAGUUGAGGCAAUAUCUGAAGACACCCGUGCUUGGAAAAUGUUCUUUGAUGGGGCAGUAAACGCAAAAGGCGUUGGAGUUGGGGCAAUCUUGAUCUCACCCACCGGCCAGCAUUAUCCAGCCACAUGCCGGCUUCGGUUUUUUUGCACAAACAACACCGCCGAGUAUGAAGCCUACAUUAUGGGUAUGAACAUGGCAAUUGACCAAGAUGUCGAAGAAUUGAUAAUCAUGGGAGACUCAGAUUUAAUUAUCCGACAAGCUUAAGGAGAAUAGGAAACCCGAGAUGUCAAGAUUAUUCCUUAUAGGCAACAUGUGGAAGAUAUUGGCAAGCGAUUUAAGUCAAUAGAGUUCAGGUACAUCCCUCGCUGUCACAAUGAAUUAGUUGAUGCACUUGCUACUUUGGCCUCGAUGCUGCCAUACCCAGGCAAUGCCUACAUUGAUCCUUUGGAAAUCCAAAUUCGGGAAAGGCAUGGUUAUUGCAAUAUGGUUGAGGCAAAACCAAAUAUUCAGCCAUGGUAUCAUGACAUCAAGAGAUUUCUGAAAACUAAAGAAUACCCUGAGCAAGCCAGCGGAGACCAAAAGAGAACCAUUAGAUGUCACGCAAGUGGUUUCUUCUUGAGGGGUGAUAUUUUGUACAAAAAUCCUCCGAGCGGGCUAUUAUUGGAUGACCAUGGAAAAGGACUGUUUUAGCUUUGUUCGGAAGUGUCAUCAGUGUCAGGUGCACGGGGAUCUGAUUCAUGCACUGCCCACAGAACUGCAUCCCAUGUUAGUGCCUUGGCCAUUCAUUGCCUGGGGCAUGGACGUCAUUGGGCCAAUCGAGACAAAAGCCUCAAAUGGGCAUAGAUUCAUAUUGGUCGCCAUCGACUAUUUCACGAAGUGGGUUAAAGUAAUUACUCUCAAAUCUGUCACCAAGAAAGCUGUGGUAGACUUCAUGCACUCUAACCUCAUCUACCAUUUUGGUAUUCCUGCAACUAUCAUUACAGAUAAUGCUGCAAAUUUGAAUAGUCAUUUGAUGAGGGAGAUAUGCGAACAGUUCAAGAUAACACAUCAGAACUCUAACCCUUAUUGUCCCAAAGCCAACGGUGCCGUUGAAGUAGCAAAUAAGAACAUCAAAAAGAUUUUGAGAAAGAUGAUUCAAAGUUCCAGGCAGUGGCAUGAAAAGUUGCCGUUUGCAUUAUUGGGGUAUCACACUAUUGUGCGCACAUCGGUCGAAACAACCCCGUACCUUUUGGUUUAUGGCACCGAAGCCGUAAUACCCGCGGAAGUUGAAAUACCUUCUCUUCGGAUCAUUGUGGAUGCUGAAAUUGAAGACAGUGAGUGGGUCAAAGCCUGUCUGGAACAGUUAACCCUAAUUGAUAAAAAGCUAAUGGCCGCAGUCUACCACGGGCAGUUGUACCAACAAAGAAUAGCCCGUGCCUACAACAAGAAAGUACGACCCAGAAAUUUUGAAGUAGGACAACUUGUUUUAAGGCAUAUUCUUCCUCAUCAUCAGGAAGCAAAAGGAAAAUUUGCUCCUAACUGGAAAGGCCCAUACAUUAUCCGAAAGAUAUUACCAAGAGGAGCGUUAUAUCUGGGAGAUAUUGAAGGAAACAACCCCGAGGCAGUUGUGAACGUAGACGCGGUCAAAAGGUACUAUGUCUAGUCCUUCUGCAGCAAUAGCACUAUCCGAUUGGUAUGACAAAAGCUUUCAUUCUCGCUACCCCAAACACUCCAAUCCUUUUGCUAACCCUUUGAGUCGGUUACUUUUCUUUCAUUACCCUCUUUGGAACUCGAAAAAAAAAUGUUUCCCUGAACUACGUUCGACUUGAUUCCGAAAGGAUACGUAGGCAGCCUCUCUCUAGGGUUCAGUCACACCAAAUAAAAAAUCCAAAGUCCCCCAAAAGCAAAACUGGGGCAGAAUUUAUAAUAGUUCGACGAUGAUCCCACCAGAACAGUUCCAAAGUUGUAAUUCCGUCCAGAUUCUUUUUACCCAAACCUUGUUCAAAGUCCUUCCGAUCAAUCGGCAAAAGGUUUUCAAAAACAAAGAACACAGUUGUUUGGAUUUGAUGCAAUCAAGAUGAGAGAAAUAAAAUGAGAGAGUCUUAUUGGUGAAAACCUAUGGGCACCGUAAGGAGAUGGUGAGCAGAGAAAUUGAAAAUACGAGAGUCUUGUUAGUGAAAACUCGUAAAAGAGCACUAUAAGGCGAUGGUAAGAAGAGAAAUGAGAGAGGCCGAUUGGCGAAAACCCGCAAAGGGCGCCGUUGAUCGAAAAGAAGAAACCCCUCACCACCAUUGGUAUUGAAAGAGUCUUGGCAAGGUUCCUCGAUUUUGAAACACGGGUUUCAAUGGGUUUAUGAGAAGUUGGGAUAGUUGUGCGGAUCGGGCAUCCAGUCCAAGAAGCUUGUCAUGUCUAUUGAAAUCUGCAUGCACCCCAGAUAAGUCCGUUCUUUCUCCCCGAAAGGGACACUUCUCCUUAAACUCAUUUUCUUGUCCUUUGUUUACUUUUCCUUGAAUCCCUUUCAGUCUAACUCUGUUUCCGAAACUAAUACAAAGAAAAGGUGGCAAGAUUGGCUUUACAGGGUUUUGCCUAUAGCUAAAGAAAAGUACCCAUCCUCAGCGGGUGCAUCAAGUCGAUACCGACUGGCCAUGAUGGCUGAUUCUCUGAAAUGAAAGUUAUUGAAAAGGAAAAGAAAGCCAAAGGCAAAAGCCUAAAGGUGGAAUAAAGUGAAAGGGUCGAAGCCCCACGCGGGCAAGCCGUCAUGAAAUCUUAAAAGUUGAGUCCCUCGGUUUGAAAGAUAGAUCAAUCUUCAGAAAACCACCAAGCAGUAGAGGUUCUCAACAAAGGUUCGGGCCGAGAUUGAGACAACCAAGACCACAAAACCAACCACCAUUUUAAACAAACAAUUGUUCUUUGUUUAAAAUUGAAACAGGUGAAGCCCAAGGCAACCGUGCAAAAGCAGGUGCAACCCAAAAGAAAAGCGGCGCAAAAGCUAGAAAUAGCUUCGCAGUAACAAUCAACCCAAAAAGGAAGUUUUCCUCCAAAAUUCUUUCCUGCAUCUUAUUGAAAUAAAAUGAAAUGAAAAAGGAAAAAAAAAAUAGAAGAAAAAGAAGAAAAUCCAAACAAAUUGAUAGUUCAAAAUUCCCAAUCUCAAUCUUUUACGCCUUUGCCAACAUUAGGGCUCCAAUCCCUGAGUUGAGAUUUUAGACAUAGGGCCUCCAUUCCCUAGUUGCCUUUUCUUUGCCAACAUUAGGGCUCCAAUCCCUGAGUUGAGAUUUUUAGACAUAGGGCCUCCGUUCCCUAGUCGCCUUUUCUUUGCCAACAUUAGGGCUCCAAUCCCUGAGUUGAGAUUUUUAGACAUAGGGCCUCCAUUCCCUAGUCGCCUUUUGCUAAUAUUAGGGCUCCAAUCCGUAAGUUGAGAUUUUUAGACAUAGGAUCCCCAUUCCCUAGUCGCCUUUUGACAACAUUAGGGCUCCAAUCCCUGAGUUGAGAUUUUUAGACAUAGGGCCUCCAUUCCCUAGUCGUCUUUCUUCCAACAUUCGGGCUCCAACCCUGAGUUGAGAAUUUUAGACAUAGGGCCUCCAUUCCCUAGUCGCCUUUUUGCCAACAUAGGGCUCCAAUACCUAAGUUCAGAUUAUAGACAUAGGGCCUCCAUUCCCUAGUCGCCUUUUGUCAACAUUAGGGCUCCAAUCCCUAAGUCGAGAUUUUUAGACAUAGGAUCCACAUUCCCUAGUCGCCUUUUGCUAAUAUUAGGGCUCCAAUCCUUGAGUUGAGAAUUUUUUUGAUAUAGGGCUUUAUUCCCUAAUCUCUUCCUCCUGAAGGCACACAAUCCUUACGUUAUCGCUUUCCAAAAAAAAGUUAGUUACAAAUAACUCACGAAAUUUUCCUAGUGUAAACUGGGGCAGAAUAUUUCGUUCGUCUGUUUGUUUUGGUGUUUGAGCAGGUUUUACCUUGAGGAACGGGGUUCGAGAUGACCAACAGAAUGAGUCUCAAUCCAGAACAAAGAAAAGAAGAAAAAGAACAAAAAAAUAAAGAAGUAAACUCAAAGGUUGAAACGGAGAGGGAUGCGAACUGCUCAAGAUAUGAUUGAAGUCACAAGCCUCGCAUGUCCCGCCUUGAUCCAGAGCUGAAGAAAGAACUAGUGCCUACAGCUGACAAGCAUCAAGAUUCAAAUCGGAGUCCACAGCGAAAACCAUCCAAGACUCAAGAUCAAGCUUCGAAAGAUUUAUAGAUAGGAAUUUUGUAGCUCGUAGUUGAUAGGCUUAGCUAGUUUAGCUUUUUACUUUCCAUUUUGGUGUAAUAAGGAGUUCAGCAAGCAGUAGCAGCAACAACAACAACAGUGAGAUCACAGCUUCCCGGUAGUCCCAGCUACCAAAACUUUCAGAACUAUACUGACCUGAUUCCUCUAUAGCCAAGGAUAUGUAGGCAACCUUUGAAGUAAGGUUCGGUCAGAUUCUUUUCAAAAAAUGCUUCUCAUGGAGUUUCAAACGGGCAAAAAUCCCUCAUAAUUGCUCAUUUUAUCUUUUCCCAAAAACCCUUCGUUCUCCGAACAAAGAGGGGCAGCUGUGAGCACGUGAUUUUUGCCCCACAUGGGUUACUCUUACAGAAUUCCAAUAAUCAGGUUUCUUCUUUUAAUUAUUUGUUAUUUUAGGGAUUUUUGUAGGAUUUUUAUUCAAUUAUUUGCAUUUUUGUGCAUGUUUAAGUUUAUUUAAAUUAUGAAAAUACCAAAAAUAUCAUGCAUUGCAUUUAGGAUUUAUUUUUAUAGGAUUAAUUAAUUAAUUAUUUAUUUUAUUAAAAAUAAAAACCACAAAAAUGGCUGAUUUCUACAUUUUUCCUUUUUAUUGAUUUUUCUCUUUUAAUUUAGGAUUAAAGUAGCUUUUACAAUUUUGUAAUUAAUUAAUUUGUUUAAUUUUUUUUCAUAUUCUAGGUAAUUUAGAAUUUUUAAUUGUUAGGAUUUUUAAUUAAAAAAAUUAGAAAAAAAAGGGGAAAAGAGAGAAAAGAAUUUUGAAAGAAAUUGGAGAAAUUAGAUUUUUGGGCCAAAUUGAUUGAAAUUGCCCAAGCCCAAUUGAAUUCCCCAAAAUACCCGGCCAAACCCAUCAAAAUACUCGGCCCAAACUGACUAACCCGGUCCAAAUCCCUACCAUAACCAAACGACCCCGUUUUGGUAUCAUCUCAUCACAGUCGUUAGAUUCUCAUCAUCCAACGGCUCGGAACUACUUUGUACUUAGCUAUAUUAGUGUCCGAAAAGACUGAUCACCCCCCCCCAUCAGACCCCUCUCACUUCGUCUCCCCCUCUCUCCACGACCAAACCCUAGCCGCCAUGAAACCCUUUUCAUCUUCGCCACAAACCACCUAUCGGAAAUCGCCUCACGGCGGUUCCGGUGGUCCAAACACCCUGAAAAUAACACCAUAGACUCCCCUCCAUCUCCUCCUCCCAAAUCUCCAAUCCUUUUUCCUCGAAUCCCUGCCGAGUUUCUCGAAUCUUGAAUCAAAGAAAGCCGACCGAAACCCUAACUGCUCCAAAUCUCCCCAAAUUCACACCCUGAGAUGCUUAUCCCUAUCUGAAUCCCAAACCACCAUUAGCCCCUUUCGAAUCAGCCCCGAGUCCCUCGAAUUUCAAAUCUCAAGACCCCGGAAGAACCUUAAGUUUCUUUCUUCACUUUUUUUGGGGGGGUUAUAUUUGGUCGGAUGGACUUAAAACCUUCAUUAAUCGACUGUUUUGGUUAAAAACAGUCGAUUAAUGUUGGUCAAAGUCCAUAUUACACUUCAAAAUAGUUGGACAAACUCGUGUUUUGAUUCAGCUUUGAUUUCAAUCAGGUAAAAUCCUUUUCUGUUCUUUUGAUUGCUUAAUUUUGGUUUUUGUUUCUUCUAUGCAUGUUUUUAUUUUUCAUUUAUGUUUUAGCAGCAUGUUAGGUUUCUUCUCUUUUCCCUCUGAUUUGUUAAUUAUUCUGUCCAUCCGUUUGGUUAAAGCAUGUUUAGGCUCGUUUAGGAUUCCUAUUGAAUUUUUGCCUUAUUUUUAUUGCAUUGAUCCCUCUUUGCAUGUCUGAAUAUUUUUUUCCUUUGCUUUGGCAGCAUGUUUUAGGAACUUUUAGUCUUGGUUUUUCCUUUCUUCCACCUAGUUUGUUAAUUACUUCUUAAUCAAAUCAUGUUUAAGUCAGCAAAAAUGCAUAAUUUCUGGUUAGGUUAGUUGUCGUUACAUUAUCAUGUCUGCUUCCUCAAUUCAUACCACUACUGCUAUCAGUGUUGGUCCAAGUUUAGCUCUCAUUUAGGUUUAAUUAAAUUAACUUUUUCAUUUUAAUGAUUAAUUAGUUUUGGAUUAUAUGGUCAUGCUCGAUAGUUUUUGUCAUUUCAAUUCAAAUCCUUGGGUCAUUUCUUUGUGUUUCUGCUUCUAUUGGUUUGGAUCUGGAAAUCAAUAGAACCUUAGGGGCCUUAGUUGAACUAGAAAGUCUAGGUAACACCUGAAAUAAUUGAUAACCUAAGGGGUAAAAUUGGACUUUCACUUAGGCUGAAAUCAGAAAGUUCUAGAACUUAGAACAGUUGUCCCUAUCCUUAGCAAAAAUGUUGAUAUUGGAUAAGAAAAAGGACAUACAGUUGUCAAAAGAUGUUGUACUAUUCUGAAAUUUCAAAAAUUAGAUCAGAAUAUUCCUUUUGAGAUGCUUUUUUUUACACUUUAUAAAAGGGAAAUAUCCCCUCACUCACAGACAGAUUUUUUGGAUCAUCAAAAAUUACGGCAAAAAACACUUCCUGCUCUAAAAGUUCAGAUUCCAGAAAAUUCUGAAAAACUCAAAAAAUCUUCUCCCAUUUUUCUGAUUCUGUGCAAGUCAAUAUAUGGUUUGAAUAGAAAAUUUUCCCUAGUUCCCUAGCUAGAUUUUCUGGUUUGAAGCUGGUUUUGGUCUUAUUUUGAGUCCCUCGGCUAUUUUGGUUUUGUUGUAGCUGUUGUGCUGCUGAUAUCCUUGAGAUUCUCCAGAAUCCGUUCUUCUACCUUUCUUUGUUGAGUCCUUACUAUUCCAAGUACUACUUAGAUCCCAAUGUAGUUUCCUUGUACAUGAAUUUAUGAAAAAAUGGCAAACUUUUGCAAAUGAAUGUGCAAUGAAUGGUUCUUUGAAUAUUGUUUGAUUAGUCUUUGCUUUUAGAUAGUGUAACGGCCAGUAUUAACAUGAGCAAUGUUUUUAUUCAAUAACUUGCUUUAUAUUGUAUUGAAAUAGUGUGAAAAAAUGAUAUUAAGGCUGAAUAUCAGUAGCUUUGAUUCAUACUAGAACAUUUAGUCAAGAAUGUUGACCAUGUUUCUGUAGGUAACAUUUCUUUUUUUCUCCAUCUGAUCUCCUUACUUGAAACCCUUUUUUUUUUCUUUUCACUUGGUAAUGAGCUAUAACCUGUUGGUUCACCCACCACUUGGCUGGAUCAAUUGGAUUUCAAAGCUUUAAGGUGGGAUCUACAUGUUAAGGAAAGAAGAUGAGGCUGCUAUGGACAAGUCAUGUUCAAAAGGAGCAAAGGUCUUUCUGUUAAUAUACAAAUUUGUAAUAGCUUAGUAUUAGAUUAGUUUUACCCUUUUACAUACUUGUUUCAGCCAAUGGCAUGAAUUUUAACAGUAAAGAAAGGCUUUCUUUUUUUAUGUAAAGUUUGUCAUUCAAUGCUAAGGAUUAUGUAACAUUGGGACUGUCUAGACAUUGAAUCGAAACUUAUGUUUCACAGGCUAGGCUGCAAUUAAUGAGCUUAAGUGUGUGUUUUUAGUAAGUUUAAUGUACAGUUCUGAAAAUGGUUGUCCUUGAAAUUAAUUUGCUUUCUGUUGUAAUUUUGGGGAUCCGAAUGUUUGGUUUAGGCUUGGAUAAGUUCAAGCUGAAGCAGCCUUUUGAAAGUCACAUUUGGGGCUACCCUUGGUCUGAAGCUCACUCUUUGCCUUUAGGGCCAAUUCAGGCCCAAGUGGUUCUGUGAGCUUAAGUCCCAUUUCCUCAAGCUUUAAUGAAUGUUCCUUUGUUUAGGGUUGGGCUAGGUUUGGUUUUAGCAAGCUAUGUCUUUUAAUUUCUUAUUGUAUGUUCUCAUGAAUAAGCAGUUAUACCUUUUGAGUCUAGCCAUGAAUAGCUUAUGAAUGCAAACAACAUCAUUAUGAUUUGUCUUUAAUUGUAUGGUUAUAAAUUUGAAUCUUUUAAUCUGGGCAAAGAAGCUCAUUGUAGUUCUUGGUUCAUGCAUACCAAGGUAUAAAAAAUGCAACGAAGUAGACUGGCCAGCCUGUGUCAAUGCACAAUUGGGCUCGUUUAAAAUCCAAGCCCAACGUGAGGUUUUCUUCCAUCAGUGCCUAUUUUGAGUCCUAGGAUUUCUGAUUUCUGGGUCAUUUCGCGUGCCCCCAAAUUAGUUUAAGAUUGUCGAAUUCCCUAGCUGAAUGACCAAUGGGCCAUCCUUGGCUCAAUCCCUUCAAGAGAAUUAAUUUUGAGCCCAACCUUUUUCCUUUUUUUAGGUUUCCUUAACUUGGAUUCCAAUUGAUCUCCUUAGUUUCAACUUAGUAAAAUGCAAACCCCUUGAAGUAAAAAUAGUUUGGGGUGUGCCAUAUACAGUUAUAAUCCUUUAAUUAUGGCCCUCAUGUAAAUAAAUUAAUUUAGAAAUGCCUUGAAUAAUCGUAGUUUGCUUUAUGCUCGAUUUAGGCUAGUAUUGUGAGUAUGUAUAUGUUCGCGUAACAUAAUUGUAAUUUUAAUUCUAAAAUAAAUCGAGGUAUGCGUUCGCGCAACAUCGACGAAACUUUCUUAAUAAAUCAAGAAAAGCAUUAUUAAUCAUGGACACGUUCGCGUGACAUGAUUUUGACGCGCUAAAAGAAAAGAGUAUACGUACGCGUAACUCAAUUCUUUAAUUACGAAUAAUUCAAGUGAUUUAAAAGUGGUAAAGAGAUAAAUGUACAUAGGUCCUAAAAUGAGUAGUUAAAUAAUUUAAGACAAGUAUAAAUUUCUAAGCGACCGUGCUAGAACCACGGAACCCGGGAAUGCCUAACACCUUCUCCCGGGUUAAAAAAAUUCCUUUCUUAGAAUUUCUAAUUUGCCGACUUCGAAAAGGAAAGUCGAAAUUUCCUCGAUUUGGGAUUUAAAAUAAACCGGUGACUUGAGACACCAAAUAAAAUAUUCCAAGUGGCGACUCUGAAAUAAAUUAAAUAAUACCAUAUCGAAUAAUGUCACUUUCGGGUGUGUAAAAAGGAGGUGUGACACCAAUGCCCCAAUAGUGUUCAUGCAUUUGAUGAACAACGUGUUCCGACCUUAUCUUGAUUCGUUUGUCAUAGUCUUCAUUGAUGAUAUUCUGGUGUAUUCGCAUAGUCAGGAGGAGCACGCGGAGCAUUUGAGAGUUGUGUUGUAGAGAUUGAGGGAGGAGAAGCUUUAUGAAAAAUUAUCCAAGUGUGAGUUUUGGCUCCGUUCAGUGGCUUUCUUGGGACACGUGGUGUCUAGCGAUGGUAUUAAGGUUGAUCCGAAGAAGAUAGAGGCGGUUCAGAGUUGGCCUAGACCGUCCUCAGCCACAGAGAUUCGCAGCUUUCUUGUUUGGGAGGCUAUUAUCGCCGGUUUGUUCAGGGAUUCUCAUCUAUCGCAUCACCCUUGACCAAGUUGACUCAGAAGGGUGCUUCAUUCGUAUGGUUGGACGAGUGUGGGGAGAGCUUUCAGAAGCUCAAGACAGCUUUGACCACAACUCCAAUGUUAGUUUUGCCAUCAGCUUCAGGUUCAUAUACCGUGUAUUGUGAUGCUUUAAGAGUUGUUAUUGGUUGUGUAUUGAUGCAGGAGGGUAGAGUUAUUGCUUAUGCUUCUCGUUAGUUAAAUACCCAUGAGAAGAAUUACCCUAUUCAUGAUUUGCAGUUGGUUGACAUAGUUCACGCGUUGAAGAUUUGGAGGCAUUACCUGUAUGGCGUAUCUUGUGAGGUGUUCACUGAUCAUCGCAGUCUUCAGCAUUUGUUCAAGCAAAAAGAUCUUAAUUUGAGGCAGCGGAGAUGGUUGGAGUUGCUUAAGGAUUAUGAUAUCACUAUAUUAUACCAUCCGGGAAAGGCCAAUGUAGUGGCCGAUGCCUUGAGCCGAAAGGCGGUGAGUAUGGGGAGUUUGGCAUAUGUUCCAGUUGAGGAGAGACCUCUUGCAGUUGAUGUUCAUGCCUUGGCCAAUCGGUUCGUAAGGUUAGAUAUUUCGGACCCUAGUCGGGUAUUGGCUUGUGUGGUUUCUCGGUCUUUCUUAUAUGAUCGCAUCAGAGAGUGCCAGUGUGAUGAUCCGCAUUUGCUUGUCCUUAAGGACAGAGUUCAGCAUGAUGAUGCUAGAGAUAUGACCAUUGGAGAUGAUGGGGUGUUGAGGAUGCAGGGCCGGAUUUGUGUGCCCAAUGUGGAUGGGCUUCGGGAGUUGAUUUUGGAGGAGGCCCAUAGCUCGCGGUAUUCUAUUUAUCCGAGUGCCGCGAAGAUGUAUCAGGAUUUGGGGUAGCACUAUUGGUGGAGAAGAAUGAAGAAAGACAUUGUGGGAUUUAUAGCUCGGUGUCUCAAUUAUCAACAGGUGAAAUAUGAGCAUCAGAGAUCGGGUGGCUUGCUUCAACAUAUGGUUAUUCCCGAGUGGAAGUGGGAGAGGAUCACUAUGGACUUUGUUGUUGGACUUCCACGGACUUUGAGAAAGUUCGAUGCUAUUUGGGUGAUAGUGGAUCGGCUGACCAAGUCCGCGCACUUUAUUCCUGUAUGUACUACCUAUUCUUCAGAGUGGUUGGUAGAGAUCUAUAUUCGGGAGAUUGUUCGUUUGCAUGGUGUCCCAGUUUCCAUCAUUUCAGAUAAGGGCACUCAGUUUACUUCGCAAUUUUGGAGAUCUGUGCAGCGAGAGUUGGGUACUCAGGUUGAGUUGAGCAUAGUUUUUCAUCCUCAGACGGGCAGGCAGUCUAAGCAUGUUAUUCAGAUAUUGGAGGACAUAUUGCAUGCUUGUUGUCACACCUCCUUUUUUACUUACACCCCAUAAAGGGCGUAAAUAUAAGGUAGUUUUUCCAAUUAAAGGACAAUCGAAAUGGGAUUGUUUAUUUAUUAAAAAUCAAAGUCGCCAUUUGGGAUAAUUUAUGAUGUCCCAAGUCACCAGUUUAAAUCCCGAAUCGAGGAAAACUGACUCUAUUUACGGUUUGCGAACAUGAAAAUCCGAGUAAGAAAUUCUGUUAACCCGGGAGAAGGUGUUAGGCACUCGCGAGUUCCGUAGUUCUAGCACGGUCGCUUUGAUCAUACUUGGCUUAUUAAAUUGUUUAAUUACUCAUUUUAGAUCCUAUGUGCAUUUACCCUAACCGCUUUUAAAAUUAAGAAAAUUAUCUUGAAACGAGUCACGCGUACGUGUACCCAUAUGUUUGGCGCGUCAAAAAUCAUGUCACGCAAAGGUGUCCACAAUUAAGAACGCUUUGUUAUUAUUAAGAAGAGUUUGGCCGAAGUUGCGCGAACGCAUACUCCGAUUUAUUUUCUGGGGAAUCAUAACUAUAUCACGCGAACAUGUCCACAACCACGAUAAUAGAUUUAGUCGCCCAUAGAGCAUUUUCUAUGAUGUUCAUAAUUUAUUCAACUUUUAAACCCAAACCAACUAUUAUCUUGUUCAAGUCAUUGGAGUCUUUAAUCCAACAAACUAAUUCAAAGAACCAUUCAAGCGACAUUACGAAACAAACAACUUCAAACAAAUAAACAGUCAAGUCUCAUUAGAGAAUUCAACAAAUGAACUAAUUUUCGAAAGCAAGUAUAGACUAAUGAACCAUGUAUUUCACUCAAAUCUUCACUCAAAGGUUCAGGGGCAGAUUCAACAAAAUUCCAACAUAUAUUAGUUUGACUAACGAAUCACAGUCAUCCAAAUACCACAAAGAUCAAGUAAAGUAAGCUUUAAACUAAACUUUAUAUUAAUUGGAACAAAUUCUGAAUAAACUAAUCACUAUUUAUACCUUUUUUCUCAAUAUGAUAAUAUAUUUUACUUAUUCAUUUUUAACUGUUCAACGUCCAAAGUUAACGUACCACUUAUUUGCCACAGUGCCAUAUAUACUAGGAAAAUUGACUCCUAAAAUUCUUUGAUAUCAUGUGGAAACUUCUUUUCAUUUGAGGCCACCAUAAGUCACCAAUUGGAAUUUUUGCACAAUAAUUCAAGUAUUAUUAUAACGUUUUGAAGACGUACCAAACAGAAACAAUGUUUAUUGUUUUGUCACUGCCGCUGACGGUAGGGCACUGCACCAUUUCCAUUUUUGUCACCUUUCUCCUACAACUAAUGGACUUCCAAGCAGAGACCAAAUAGAAUUGUCGAAUUCUAAUACAGAAUCGUGAAGCUCCACGGAAACCUCAGGCUACGACCUCUGAUGAACUCGGAACUCGCCGGAAAACUUGAAUCACACAAAAACUCGCCGCGACCCGGAUCUCUUGCCUUUCAUUUCAUUUCGUUUCUAGCUUUUACGUUGUGUAUUCUAUUUCUUUUUCCAAACUUCCAGAAAUCUGUCCAUUUAUGUCUGUGUGUGCGUGUGUUUGGGCGUUGGAAGGACAGCAAAGUGAGGGAGAGAGAAAUGGGAACGAGGUGAGAACAAUAGUCGCCGGUGGAGCCGGCUAACGUUGGUUGUUGCUGGUUUUGUUUUUUGAGAGGGAGGUCUUGUAUGUAACGGCUGAUAGUUGCUGCUCUUGUUUCUGGUCAAGAUUUUUUAGAGCUUCAUGAAGAAGAAGCUCAUGGGGGUCUGUCCCUUAUGCGGCUGUAAGUUUUGUAGGGUUUUUUAUUUUUUGUUCAAGAAGAGGGCCUUCAUGUACCGGGGGGUCGUUUUUGUUCAGCAGCUCAUUCCCAAACUUAAGCAUUGGGUCCCCUUUGAAGAAGAUGACUGAAGCUCUUCUGUAUUCUCUAAAAUCAGAAAACGGAUUUAUCUCU